AACUGAUCAAGAAGCCUCCUGGCCAGAAGCGAGAAAAGAAGAGUUCAGCUCUUUUCGUCAACAAUAAUUUGGUGCCCAAACACGUGAGGCCUCAGAGAAGACUCAGGAUGCUAAAGGAGUUGCCCAAAACCAGAGCUAAGGUACCACCAGCAGGGGGCGCAUUGAAGCUUCGAGUUCCUCCUCUGGUGGAACUGCAUUAUUCAUGAUGGCAAAGAUAUGGAAUCAACUGAG